UACGUAGGGGGCUAGCGUUGUCCGGAUUUAUUGGGCGUAAAGAGCGUGUAGGCGGCCAAGUAGGUCCGUUGUGAAAACUGGAGGCUUAACCUCCAGCUGUCGAUGGAAACCAUUUGGCUAGAGUCCGGAAGAGGAGAGUGGAAUUCCUGGUGUAGCGGUGAAAUGUGCAGAUAUCAGGAAGAACACCCGUGGCGAAGGCGGCUCUCUGGGACGGUACUGACGCUGAGACGCGAAAGCGUGGGGAGCGAACAGG
rnacentral:rRNA from 1 species